GUGCUGUCAGCACAUGUACUAAAAUAGGAAUGAUACAGAGAUCAGCAGGCCCCUGCGCAAGGAUGACACAAAAAGUCGUGACGCGUGCCAUGUUUAA
rnacentral:snRNA from 1 species